rnacentral:rRNA from 1 species
UACGAAGGGGGCUAGCGUUGCUCGGAAUCACUGGGCGUAAAGCGCACGUAGGCGGCUUCUUAAGUCAGGGGUGAAAUCCUGGAGCUCAACUCCAGAACUGCCUUUGAUACUGAGGAGCUUGAGUCCGGGAGAGGUGAGUGGAACUGCGAGUAUAGAGGUGAAAUUCGUAGAUAUUCGCAAGAACACCAGUGGCGAAGGCGGCUCACUGGCCCGGUACUGACGCUGAGGUGCGAAAGCGUGGGGAGCAAACAGG